rnacentral:lncRNA from 1 species
UUCCAAUAAUAUUAUCAAAUAUAGGAAGUCUCUUCUAAGAUUAUAAUACCAAAUUCAUUAUAACUCACUAUUUAUUUGAUAAAAAAUAUGCUAUUUUUGAAGGUCUUUAUCUUUAUUACAUUGUCUAGAAGGUUAUAAUAAUUUUAAUACAUUACUUGAUAAUUCAACAAAUAAUAAUUCGUAAAUAAAAUUUUAUAGUUUUUUAUUUUCAAUCGUUUUAGCACUACAAAUAUAUAAAAAUAAUAAAUAAAGAUAAAAAAUUGAAUGUAAUCUUUACUAAAAAUUAUUUUCUUUAUAGCAAAGAAUUGCUUGACUUUUCAUC